rnacentral:sRNA from 1 species
UCAUCCCACACAUACACAGAUGUCUGUGCAGAGACCCGAGGAAGACGUUGGGUGUUCUGAUCUAUUGCUGUCCACCUCAUUCCCUCGAGACAAGGUCUCUUGCUGAAUGUGGGGCCAGGAAGCCCCAGCAAUCUCCUGUCCCCAAACGCUGAGGUUGAAAGUGUGCACGCAACCACGCCCAUCUUUUUACGUGGGUUCUGCCGAUUCAAACUCGGUUCUCGAGAUCGAGCAGCGAGUGCUGAUCGAUCCACCUCCCCCUCCAAAUGAAGCAUCUUAAUCCCAAAUCAGACACACCAGAGUCCAUGAUCUUAACUGCCUGUUGCAAGUGAUGAUGAGAACUGAGCUUCCUGAUUGCAGUCUAAUUUGUAUGGCGGCCAUUCAUCCACUCAUCUCCCUCUCAGGCUUCACAGAGCACCUGCUGGAGGCCGGGCACUCCGUGGGGACCGCAGACAGCCUUGCUCACAGAGGAAGUUUCAGAACUUGUGUGUGAGCUUUGCGUCGGGUCGGGCCCAUCCCUGUUCAUCCUCCCAGCUCGGAAGUGAGGAGCUCAGUAUUUGCUGAUGGUUGUCAGGUAAGUGAACAGCUGCAUUAGAGAAGCAAGAUCUAGGAUGCUCGGGGUACUGCAGGGUGGUAGACGAGAGGUGCUAGAAUGCCUUUUCUGAGACCUUUGAUCUCGACAUCCAUGGACAGCGGCAUGGCUACAGAGGCACCGGUAGAGGUGGGGCCUGGGAGUGCUGCCAUCUCUAGUCUUGGUCUGGAGCCCCAACAGGGAUUGAGCACCUUGUCCUAACACCCUGAUGACUUUCUAGGACACAGACUGGUGGAAAGUGACUGGGGUGAGGUGGGGCCUUGGGAAGAAAGUAUCUGGUCUCAGUCCCCAGUCCCUGUCUCCCUUGAGUGCUUUCAUCAGGUGUCCAGGUCUGAUUCACAACCAGCAGGAUGGCCAAGCUGGCCACGAGCUCUGCGUGGGCACAGUGUGCUGUGAAUGGAGGUUGUGUGGCCAUCAGGGUGUUGUGGUGACGAUUCUGUGCUGGAAAGAAACCCUCGCGGGCAGCAGUGGCUCGCUGCUGAGGUAUAAAUCUGACAAGUGGCUGACUGGAAGCUAAGAACACAACACAGAGAGCUGUGAGGACAUGGCUGGCUCUCCAACUCCAGUGUGAGGCAACCCUAACACAUCACGGGAGAGCUAACCUGCAUCCCGGCCUUUGCUUAGCCUCUUCCUUCUGUGUGGAAUAUCCUUCCUGUCUCCCCCGACUGCUGGUGCGCUCCUAUUGAUCCUUCAAGGCCCAGCUCAAGCACCUGCUUUUCUAGAAACCCUAACUCAAGCAUUCCAUCUUCUACCAGCCCUACGACUCCCAGUAUCUCUUUGUGCUGUCUCCCGAGGUCACAAGCCAACUGUAUCCAAGCCCGACAUGAAGAGGAAGACAGAAUGACCAGCUCGGUCCAGACGCUGGGUGAAGAACAGGAACUGGUGCUCUAUACUGAACAAAUCAUCUAGAAGGUGGUAGGGGUGAGGGCUACAGGUCCCUGAACGGGGGAUGGCAGGGAGGGAGGGUGCGGCUGGCCCCAAGGUUUGGCAGCUCAACGCCGGUGCCCUCUUUGUCACAGGAUGCCAUGAUUCUGCUGAUCUCAGACCACAACUAAUUAUUCUAAUGGGUUUAAAUGGCCUUAAAUGUUCUCAGAGUUUGGACGGGACCCAUCUGGAGCCGGCAGGUGGGCUGCUCCCAGUGACUGCAAGGGGCUGAGUUCAGCAUGGAUGCUGCAGGAUCCAAGCUUACCAAGCCUCCCAAGGAGGUAGAAACCCAUUUUUGCAGAGGAAGAAACUGAGGCAUGAAGGGCUGGUGACUUACCCAGGGCCCCCACAGAGAAGCUCUUCUCCACUGUGGCUCCAGAGAUCAUGCCCCUGCCUUUUCAAAGGUGGGCAGGUCACAAAGAUUUCUUUGUGGCCUCACCUGGAGCAACACCGAGAGCCUUAAGAAGGACCCGGAGGUACAUUACCAGAGUGGUGAAGAUGAAGUGGUAGUAUUCCGUCAUCAUGCCCAUGGCCAUGGCCUGUGGGGAAGCAGAG